rnacentral:rRNA from 1 species
UGGGGAAUAUUGCACAAUGGGCGCAAGCCUGAUGCAGCCAUGCCGCGUGUAUGAAGAAGGCCUUCGGGUUGUAAGGUACUUUCAGCGGGGAGGAAGGGAGUAAAGUUAAUACCUUUGCUCAUUGACGUUACCCGCAGAAGAAGCACCGGCUAACUCCGUGCCAGCAGCCGCGGUAAUACGGAGGGUGCAAGCGUUAAUCGGAAUUACUGGGCGUAAAGCGCACGCAGGCGGUUUGUUAAGUCAGAUGUGAAAUCCCCGGGCUCAACCUGGGAACUGCAUCUGAUACUGGCAAGCUUGAGUCUCGUAGAGGGGGGUAGAAUUCCAGGUGUAGCGGUGAAAUGCGUAGAGAUCUGGAGGAAUACCGGUGGCGAAGGCGGCCCCCUGGACGAAGACUGACGCUCAGGUGCGAAAGCGUGGGGAGCAAACA